GACGAACGCUGGCGGCGUGCUUAACACAUGCAAGUCGAACGGAAAGGCCCUGCUUUUGUGGGGUGCUCGAGUGGCGAACGGGUGAGUAACACGUGAGUAACCUGCCCUUGACUUUGGGAUAACUUCAGGAAACUGGGGCUAAUACCGGAUAGGAGCUCCUGCUGCAUGGUGGGGGUUGGAAAGUUUCGGCGGUUGGGGAUGGACUCGCGGCUUAUCAGCUUGUUGGUGGGGUAGGGGCUUACCAAGGCUUUGACGGGUAGCCGGCCUGAGAGGGUGACCGGCCACAUUGGGACUGAGAUACGGACCAGACUCCUACGGGAGGCAGCAGUGGGGAAUAUUGCACAAUGGGCGGAAGCCUGAUGCAGCAACGCCGCGUGCGGGAUGACGGCCUUCGGGUUGUAAACCGCUUUCGCAUGUGACGAAGCGUGAGUGACGGUAAUGGGUAAAGAAGCACCGGCUAACUACGUG
rnacentral:rRNA from 1 species